CUAUUAUUUAAAAUGUAAAUAUAAUAACUUGAGUAGUAUUAGUUAAUUUCUUGAAACUCAAAGAAUUUGGCGGUGUUUUAGUCUAUUCAGAGGAAUCUGUCCUAUAAUUGAUAAUUCACGAGUGAUUAUACUUAAUUUUGUAAUUUCAGCUUGUAUAUCGCCGUCAUCAGAUUAUUUUUGAAGAAUUUAAAUUUUCUUAUAAUUAAUUAGAUUAUAUGUCAGGUCAAGGUGCAGUUUAUGAUUAAGAAGGAGAUGGAUUACAAUAAAUUUGUUAUUUAUAUGGAUGUUAAGUUGGAAUAUUUGAUUGAAGGUGGAUUUGAUAGUAAUGCUAUUACUAGUAGUUUGAUUAUAGCUCUAAAACA
rnacentral:rRNA from 1 species